rnacentral:lncRNA from 1 species
CUUGGAUUUAAAUUUGUCAUUAUUCUUAUUUUAUUUGUCCCACCUCUUAUAUGUUCAUUUUGUCUUCUUUUGCCUUUUUGAUUUUUUUUUUUCUUAAUUAGGCCAUAGCACCUGAUAUUCCCAGGCAGACUCUCAUCCAAGUGCCAAUCAGCCCCAGCCCUGCUUAGCUUCCCAGAUCAGAUGAGAACAGGCAUAUUCAGGGUGGUAUGGCUAUAGACCUUUUAGAUUAUUUUUAAUUAUUCCAUUUUUUCUACCUCAUAAGCUUGACAGAUGUCUUUUAGUAUCUUUUUACUGUUCACCUCAGGUAUUAAAACAUGGAACCUUGGUUUAUCAUCUUUAAGAUAAUUUGGUAUUAUACUUCUUCCAGGACAAUGUAAGGACCUGCGAACACAUCAACUUCAUUUACUGCCACACCUCAUGUUAUAUACAUUGUAUAUUCUUAAUAUGUAUUUCCUAAAUUCUCAAGACAUUUUUUAUACAAUAUGAAUUUACAUUUCAUAUUGUAUAAAACAUUUACUUUUUCUAUUGUGUUUCGUGGUUCCUGGAAUCUGAGCUUCCAUCUAAGACCUUAUUUCUUCUUGAAGGACAUACUUUAAUAUUUCUUCGAAUAUCUACUGGUAACAAUUCAUUCAGAUUUUCUGUCCUGACACUGUCUUAUUUUACUUUCAUUUUCUAAGAACGUUUUUGCUGAAUUAGCAGCUAUUUUAUCAUUUUGAAGAUAUAUUUUAUUCCUUCUGGCUUCCAUUAUGUCCUCUAAGACAUAAUGUCCAUUUUGUUUUUUUCUCUUCAAAGGUAAUCUUUUUUUGGAUGGCUACUUUUAAGAGGUUUGUCUUAAGUUUGGUGUGCCCACAUGUGUUUUGUGUUUGUUUUUUUGUGUGUGUGGUUUUUUUCUGCUUCGAGAUUGAUAAUGUUUCUUGAAUCUGGCUGUGAUGUCCUUAGGCUGUUUGAGAAAAUUCUUAGCUCUGUUUGAUCAGACAUUGCUUCUGCUUUCACUCUCCUUUCUCCUCUUCUUUUGAUACUCCACUUACAUUUGUAUUUGACAAUUCACUUUGUCCCUUGUAUUUUCCAUUUAUUUUCUUGUCUGUUUCAUCCUGAAUAUUUCUUCUUAACUUUCAGUUCACUAUUUUCUCUUAGUAGUCUCGAAUUUGUUAAAUCUCUCUUGAAGCAUUUAUUUUAGUUAUAUUUUUGGUUAUCAGUUCAAACAUUUCUACUUGAUUCUGUUUUAUUGUUUCCAGUUGUUUAUCCAAUAUCUCAAUCUUUUAUUUCCUCAAACAUACUAAUCAUAAUUACUUUAAAACCUGUAUCUAAUAACUAUGGUGUCUGCUAUUAUCUGACACUUUUCUUGUUUCUUGCUGUUAUCACAUUGUCUUGCUUUUAUGUCCCUUAUUUUUAUGUUAUUUUGUAUUAUUUAUUUUAUAAACAUUAUAAAUAUAUAAAACUUGGCUUAGGUUAUGUUUUAAUUGAAUGUCAGAAUUGUUUUGAUUGAACUGUAUAUGAGGAAACUAUACUUUGAAGUCCAAUAUGAUGGUAUUUUCUAAAGAAAGAAUUUAUGUCUCCUGGCAAGACCUUUGGACACUAGUAAUCUAAGAUCUUCUUAAUCUGGUUAGUGAUAGAGACAAUUAGAAUAUAGGCAGGUCUAUUUCCUGUUCAUACUUUCACAAUGUAGACCUCUGAAGUCCCAACUCAAGCAUGCAGAGUUUACCAGAUCAGGCCCUAAACUUCAGUUUUUGUCUUUUUAAUUCUAUGGGUUAGAAACUCUGUUCAACUUUUCAGCCAUCACCUCAGGAAUCAGAAGAUACUCCAGAGGAAAAGCUAAUGUAAAUGCUGGAUUCAACAACUCUGUUUUUUCCUUCUGAAUAUUUCAUUGUCUCUAAUGCUGUCAGAUGUUUGUUUUAUAUUUUGUCCAAGCUGAGUGUGGUGGCUCACGUCUGUAAUUUCAGCACCUUGGGAGGCCAAGGCGGGACCAUCCCUUGAGGCCAGGAAUUUGAGACUAGCCUAGGCAACAUAACAAGACCUUUGUCUCUUGGAAAAAAAUAAAUAAAUAAAUAUUAUUAGAAGUGAAAAUGGGGAUGUUGUUACAAAUGCUGUGGAGAUUGAUGAGAAAUUAUGAACAACUUAAUAAUAAAUGGGAAAAUAUAAAUGAAGUAGGCAGUUCCAGAAAAUGUAACUUUUCAAAAGCCAUGUAAUGGAAAAUAUAAAUGGUGGGAUGUUGAUGUAAGAAAUCAUGAUGCCCAGAGACUUUUGCCAAACCUUCAAAGGACAGAUCAUUACAAUUUUACACAAACCAUUCCACAGUAUAUUCCACUUAUAUACUGUGGAAUUGGCCCUUACUGCCCUUAUCAAAUUUAACAUCAAGGUUACAGAAGCUUAAUAUUACUGCCCUGAUUUUAUUAGGGCAGUAAUGAUUUGAUAAGGGCAGUAAGAAUUACAGCCCUGUCAUAUUCGCAAAGACAAAAAUCCUAAAUAAAACAGACCUUAGAAAAUGUGUUUUUAAGAAAAGAUAAUAAAACAUGAUCAGGUUGAAUUUAACCCAGGAAUGUAUUUUAGUAUAUUAAGAGAUUAGAAAAACUAUCUGGCUAUCUGAACAGAUGCAGGAAAAGAAAACUAUUUGAAAAAAUUAACAGACAUAGAUAAACCUUUGGGCAAAUUAGAAUUGUGUAGAACUUCCUUGAGCCAAUAAAACCUACAACAACAAUAUUUUAAGAUGAAGUAUUUGAAGCAGUCCAUUAGAAUCAGGAACAAGUACUAUGUUGGAGAUCCUAGCCAGCAUUAUAAGGCAAGAAAAACAAAAGAUUAAAAAUUGUAAAUAAACAUAACUUAGUCUACAGAUAAAUUAUUGAAGAGCUUUGCAAGGAUUCUGAAUAUACUAUUGAUAUGGUUUGGAUCUGUGUCCCUACCCAAAUCUCAUGUUGAAUUGUAAUCCCCAAUGUUGGAGGUGAGGCCUGGUGGGAGAUUGGAUCACGGGAAUGGGUUUCUCAUUCGUGGUUUAGUACCAUCCUCUUGGUACUGUCCUUGAAAUAGUUCUUAGGAGAUCUGGUAAUUUAGAAUUGUGUGGUACCUCUCCCCUCUCUCUUGCUCUUGCUCCCCCUUUGCCUUCCACCAUGAUUGGAAGCUUCCUGAAGCUGCCUCAGAAGCAGAAGCCACUAUGCUUCCUGUACAGCUUGCAGAACCAUGAGCCAAUUAAACCCCUUUUCUUUAUAAAUUACUCAGUCUCCAGUAUUUAUAGCAAUGUGAAAACAGAUAAUAUGACUAUCAAUAUACAAAAGUGAAUUGCAUUUCUUUCCAGCAGAAAUGAACUGUUAGAAAAUGAUUUUUGUAACAUACCAUUUACUAUAUUCCUUUAAAAAUAUAAAUUAGGUAACUUAACAAAAGGUAUAGAAGACCUCUGUAGAAAAUUACAAAACUUUAUUGACAGGCAUUUAAAAAUGUCUAAUUUUAAAAUUGCCAUGUUCAAUGAUUAAAAGACUCGAGUUAAGAUGGCAGUUCUCCACUACACAAUGAAGGUAAUUGCAAUACAAAUCCCAAAUGAGUUUUUCAAGGAGCUUGACAAACUGAUUCUAAAGUCUGUAUGACAAAAAGCAGAAUUCAGGAUACUCCAGAAGCAGAUUUAAGAUAGAAUUGACUUGUAGAUAUUCGUAACAGCAAAAAAAUAAAAACAACUCAAAUAUCCAUCAAAAGAUAAAAUGUUUAUCCAUGAAAAGAUACUCAAAAAGUGACACCUUUAUAUAAUGGGAUAUAUUUGGCUGCAAAAAGGAAUGAACUGCUAAUACCUGCUAUAAUGUGGAUAAACCUUGAAAGCCUGCUGAAAUAAAGAAGCCAGUCACAAAGGACCACUUAUGAUUCCAUUUAAACAAAGUGUAUAAAGUAGAAAAUGUAUUGAGACAAUAGAUUGUGGUUGUUUAGGGCUUACAAAGUUUGGGGUGAUGGGGGCCCGAGGUAGUGACAGCUAAAGGGUGCAGUUUCUUUUUGAGGCAAUAAAGUUCUAAAAUGUAUAGUUGCACGUUUCUGUAGAUACACUAAAAUCAAUUCAGUUGUGCAUUUAAAUGAGUAAAUUGGUAUGUGAAUUGUACCUCAAUAAAUCUGUUAAAACCAUAGUAAUUAGGAUAUUGUAAUACUGGCUUAGAGAUGGAAAAAUUGAUUUAUAAGGAAUCCUGAUUGUAAGGAAUCUUGACUUAUGUCAGAGAUGGCAUUGCAUACCAGCAGGGAAAGCUAGAUCAUUUCAAUAGAUGACGCUGCAUAUUCAUAUGGGGGAAAAAUGAAAUUGGUCCUCCCUACCUAACACCAUACAGAAAAAGUAGUUUCAGAUGACUUUAAGAUGUAAGUGUGAAAGGAAAACAUAGUAAACCUUCAAAAGAAAGAUUGCAAAAUAUUUUUAUGAUCUUAUGGUAGGGAAAUGUAAUAUGUAUAAAGGAAAACAUGUAUGUCCAAUAUGUUAAAGUUAAAAACCUCUGUUCAAGACUCCAUAAACCCUCAGAAUAGCGGUUAAUUUCAGUCAUGCCCAGGAAACAUACAAGAUGAGCCUGGAAUACCUUGUGCAAGAUAGCAAGGAAGCUAUUAGAGACUACGAGGGUGUCAUAUCAAAUGGACUCAGGAGACAACUGAAAAGCAUCCUUCUGGCCAUAGAUGAGACCAUUUGAGUGUCAAUAAGGACAGUAAAUGCAAUUGAUUGGAACAUAUCAAGUGUCUUUAAAUCUGAGUACAUAAUGAUUGUAAAACAAACAGCAUUUAGUUGGUCAACAGUAGAAGAUGCUGUUGCAUCAAUUCAUUAUUUUGAAAAUCAGUUUUGUUUUGUUUUUAAAGUAAUUAGGCAUUUGUCCUGCCUUUUGUAUGUGAACUGUAAGUAACCACAUAGUAGAUGAGGAGAGGGUUCUCUUUGUACAUGUAUUCUAGCUAAUAAAUGGAGGAAUGAUAGAAAAUUGCCAUUUUGAAAUUCCUAAUGAACAAAUGGAUUUAUUUAUUGCAUUUCAACAGCUGCUAACAUGACAGACAAGAAAACAUAUGUUUCUUAAUGGAAAAACACCACUACUGAUGUUAAAAUCUUAUCAAAAAUUUGACCCUGAUACUAAUCAGGUCUUUAGAUCCAUCCAAUUUGCAGAAAAUAUAAACACCAUUAAAACUUUAAGCCAAUGAAACCUACCACAACGUAAUAUUUUGGAAUGGAAAAUAUAAAUGAAAAAUCCAAUUUUGGAGAAUAUUGGGACAAAUUAAUUUCAACAAAUAUGUUGCAGGAGAAAAGGAGACGAGAAGGACAAGUGGAGAAAACCGUAGAUUACAAGAGACUUAGUUCAAUAUGAAGCAACCUGUGAACUUGGAUUAGUUAUCUUACUGUAUAACAAAUCACCCUAGCUUAAAUCUAAAAAUAUUUAUACACUUUCUUAGGAUCCACAGGUGGUUUAGCUAGAUGUUCUGGCCCAAGGUCUCAUGAAUUUGCAGUCAAGAUGUUGGCUGGGCUGUAGUCUGAAAGUUUGACUGGUGUUAGAGGAUCCACUUCCUAGAGGGCUCAUUCGUAGAGCUGCCUGUGUUUUCUCACAACAUGGCAACUGGCUUUCUCUAGAACAGGUGAUCCAAGAGAGAGACAGAAACCAUGAUCAUUCAGAGUGAUGUAACAUUACUUCUACUAUAUAAUGUUAGUCACACAGACAUUUCCCUGACAAUAUGUGGGAGGAGAUUACACAAGAGCAUGAAUACUGGGAAGCUAGCUGUCACAAUUUGGCCCCAAUGAUUGAUAGUUCUUGAUUUGCAAAAUAUAUUCAUCCCCUCCAAAAGCUCUCCAAAGCUCUCAUCCUAUGACACCAUUAGUUCAAGGUCUAGAAAUCUAAAUCAGUUCCAAUUGUGGAUGACACUCAUAGGUGUACUUAAGUACAGCUCCUCAAGAAGAGUUCUUUUUGAUCUGAAGACUCAUACACUAAAGACACAGUCUCUGCUUCCACAUGUAAUAGAAAAUGAAUAGGAUAAUAAAUGUGGACAUGUAUAUUUAAAAAGAGGGAAUAUUGGAGGUACAUAGGUUCACAGAAAUUCUGAAACCCACCUGGGCACAGAUUGGCAGUUGCUUGGUCAAGUUUCAAGGCCUAGAAUUCUCUUAGCUCUGCCUUCUGGGAUCUUGGAUCUACUCACUGAGUCACCCUUUCUUUUUCUUGUUUACACUUCUGCCUGCUUUCUGCCUAUAGAAGCUUGGAUGUCCCACAAGCUUCUUUCCAUUUGGUUCUCUCUGUGCCUUUCAGUCCAGGCUGGCCAUGUUUCUGCUAAUAGACUUCUCUUAAAAACUUUGUGGCUCACUUGUGAAUUUUGAGUUCACUCCAUCAGACAAAAGCAACAACCACACAUCUCGUCCCACAUAAACUCUGCCUCAAGCUUUUGCUGAUGAAAAUACCCUUAAACUUUUUAAAAACCUGUGAUGUUAUUCAGAGAUUUUCUGAGACACAUCGUUUGUCUGAUGAAAAUACUCUGAGGCACAACUUAAGAUCUUUCUGAGCUAUUAAAGGACUUUAUAACUACAGCCUCAACUUUAUGUUUUACUGGCAGUGCCCUAGAUUUGCUUUUUGCUCAGAGAUAUUCCCCAAUUUUAGCACAUUUGUCAUCUGCACAGGCUGGGAAUCUUCAAAUCCAGCAAGUUUUGACUUGUUUUUGUUUGUUUGUUUGUAAUAGAGUCUGUUUUUUGCUGUGUUGGCCAGGUGAUCUUGGACUCCUGGCUUCAAGCAUUCCUCCCACCUCAGCCUCCCAAAGUUCUGGGAUUUUAGGUAUAAGCCACCAUGCCCAGCCAUGGCUCCUUUUUGUUUAACAGUCCUUACUUUGAUGGUCUCUCUUCUCACACAUUUUACUAUCAGCAACAAGAAAAAAUACACAUGAAAUAUUUAACACUUGGCCGGCAAUCUCCUUUGCUAGAUCAAUGAGUUAAUUAGGCAUUUUUUCUACUUUGUACAUAUCUGUGGAUAACAAAUUUGCUAAACUUUCUGCCAUUAUGUAACAAGGAUCUCCUUCCCUCUAGUUUCCAAGAAGAGUUUUCUAAUCUGUUAAGAUGUCACCUGCAGCCUCCUCAAAGGUUAUCUAUUAUGCUUCUAUAAAAAAUUUCUUCAAAGCUCUUCAAACUUUCAUUAACACUCUCCUCCAAGUUCUACCUUCUGUUCACUGCCAGUUUUAAAACCACACUUACAUUUUAGGUUUUUGCUAACACCCCACUUCUGAGUACCAAAAUGUAUACUGAUUUUCUAUUGCUGCAUAAUAAACUGCCCCAAAAUACAACAUGCAAAGCAAUAAAUAUUCAUUAUCUCAUGUAGUGUCUGAAGGUCAAAAAUCCGGAAGCAGCAUAGCUGAGUGGUUCUGAUUCAUUGUCUCUUGUGAAGUUAUCAGUCAAACCAUCAGCUGAGACUGUAAUCAUCUGAUGUUUUAACUAGUACCAGAGGAUACACUUUCACAUGCUAUUGGCAGGACACUUUAGUUCUUCACUAGCUGUUUAGCAGAAUACCGCACUUCCUCACCACAUGUACCUCUUCAUAGAGCUUCCUGGCUUCCUCUAAAACAAGUAAUCCAAGAGAGAAGCAGAAGCCACCAUGGUUUUUUAUGCCGUUGUUGACCUAGCCCCCAAAGUGACAUAUUAUUACACAGAUAUGUAGCCAACCUGUGGGUCACUGAUACGGUUUGGAUGUGUGUCCCCUCCAAAUCUCAUGUUGAAAUGUGAUUCUCAGUGUUGGAAGUGGGGCUGGUGAUAGGUGUUUGGUUCAUGAGGGUAGAUCCCUUAUGAAUGGCUUGGUGCUGUCUUUGUGGCAAUAAGUGAGUUCUCACUAUCUGAGUUCACACAAGAGCUGGUUGUUUAAAAGAGCCUGUCAUCUCUUUUGCUCCCUUUCUCACCAUGUGAUAUGCUGCUCCCCUUCUCUUCUGCCAUGAAGAAAAGCUUCCUGAGGCCUUCACCAGAAGCAGAUGCUGGUGCCGUGCUUCUACAGCCUGCAGAACUGAAGGACUUUACAGCUUCUCUUUCGCAUAUCCAAAUUGCCAGCAUCACCGCUCUUGCACUCCAAGCCAUUAUUAAGUAAAGUAAAGAACACAAACACUGUGAUACUGCUACACUUGAUCUGAUAACCAAGAAGUCUACUAAGUGACUAACAGGUGGGUAGCAUAUACAGCAUAGAUACACUGGACAAAGGGAGGACUCACAUCCUGGGCAAGAUGGAGCAGAAUGGCAGAGUUCAUCAUGCUGCUCAAAAUGAUGUGCAAUUUAAAACUAAUGAAUUAUUUCUGGAAUUUUUCAGUUAAUAUUUUUGGACAUGAGGUGACUGCAGUUAACUAAAACCAUGGAAAGCAAACCCAUAGAUAAAGGGAUACUAUGGUAUGUUUUCAUUUUCUAUAAUAAAAAGUUAAAAAGGAAAAAGACACCAUAGGAAAAUAAAAGACAAGUCACAAACUGGGAAAAGAUCUUUGCAACACAUGUGACUAUCGAAAGGAUUAGUAUUCACACUGUGUAAAGAACCACUACAAUUCAAUGAAAAUGAAGAUAAUGCUUUCCACCCCAAACAGGCAAUUCAUACAGGAGAAAACCUGA